rnacentral:rRNA from 1 species
AUCCUGGCUCAGGAUGAACGCUAGCGGCAGGCUUAACACAUGCAAGUCGAGGGGCAGCAUAAUGGAUAGCAAUAUCUAUGGUGGCGACCGGCGCACGGGUGCGUAACGCGUAUGCAACCUACCUUUAACAGGGGGAUAACACUGAGAAAUUGGUACUAAUACCCCAUAAUAUCAUAGAAGGCAUCUUUUAUGGUUGAAAAUUCCGAUGGUUAGAGAUGGGCAUGCGUUGUAUUAGCUAGUUGGUGAGGUAACGGCUCACCAAGGCGACGAUACAUAGGGGGACUGAGAGGUUAACCCCCCACACUGGAACUGAGACACGGUCCAAACUCCUACGGGAGGCAGCAGUGAGGAAUAUUGGUCAAUGGGCGAGAGCCUGAACCAGCCAAGUAGCGUGAAGGAUGACUGCCCUAUGGGUUGUAAACUUCUUUUAUAAAGGAAUAAAGUCGGGUAUGCAUACCCGUUUGCAUGUACUUUAUGAAUAAGGAUCGGCUAACUCCGUG